GACGAACGCUGGCGGCGUGCUUAACACAUGCAAGUCGAACGGAAAGGCCCUGCUUUUGUGGGGUGCUCGAGUGGCGAACGGGUGAGUAACACGUGAGUAACCUUCCCUUGACUUUGGGAUAACUUCAGGAAACUGGGGCUCAUACCGGAUAGGAGCUCCUGCUGCAUGGUGGGGGUUGGAAAGUUUCGGCGGUUCGGGAUGGACUCGCGGCUUAUCAGCUUGUUGGUGGGGUAGUGGCUUACCAAGGCUUUGACGGGUAGCCGGCCUGAGAGGGUGACCGGCCACAUUGGGACUGAGAUACGGCCCAGACUCCUACGGGAGGCAGCAGUGGGGAAUAUUGCACAAUGGGCGGAAGCCUGAUGCAGCAACGCCGCGUGCGGGAUGACGGCCUUCGGGUUGUAAACCGCUUUCGCCUGUGACGAAGCGUGAGUGACGGUAAUGGGUAGAGAAGCACCGGCUAACUACGUG
rnacentral:rRNA from 1 species